rnacentral:tRNA from 1 species
GUCCUUGGAGUGUGCUGGAAACGCACGCGAGCCCGCGAAGCUCGUAGACCAGGUUCGAUUCCUGGCUGGGACAC